UUUUUUUAAAGUAAUAACACUGUAUGGGAUUUGGCCUUGAUAACUUUCUAUUGUUUAUUUCUAUGUGGAGUUAGUUUACCUGAACUUUUUGAAGGAGGCUGGCCAGGACUUCCUGUACCAGCUGAAUAGAAGCAGUGACUGUGGGUUUUCUUGUCUUAUUCUAGAAUUUUAAGGGUAAAAAUUUAAUGUUUCUCCAUUAAGUAUGAUUUUUUCUCUCUUUUUUUUUUUUUUUGCUGUACGCAGGCCUCUCACUGUUGUGGCCUCUCCCGUUGCGGAGCAACAGGCUCCAGACGCACAGGCUCGGCGGCCAUGGCUCACGAGCCCAGCCGCUCCGCAGCAUGUGGGAUCUUCCCGGACCGGGGUACGAACCCGUGUCCCCUGCAUCGGCAGGCGGACUCUCAACCACUGCGCCACCAGGGAAGCCCCAAGUCAUGUCUUCCAGGGUUGUCAAAGGGACCUGCUCCACUUUUCCACAUGGCUCAAUUCCAGCUUUCAAGUCUGUGGGGAAACAAUGAUGAACUGGCCAUUCUCCUAUGUGUGAGGCCUUUUCCUUCUCCACUAAAUAAAGACAAGGAUGAGUCAGUCUCUGCCAACCUCCAGGAUCUCCCAGUCCUCCCAGUGACUCAGAGGAUGGUCUGUUUAAGGGCUCCAGACAAGCUUCCAGUUGAUGUCCCUAGUCAACACUGAAUGCAGCAGAAGAACAAUCUAGCUGGGCCCAGUACACCAAAAGAAUUGUACUCCAGCACCUCUGCCACUGUUGUUCCUAAAGCCAGGUGCCACCAGUACUAUUCUCCUCCUGAAUGGAUUCUGGGUGAUGCCUGUCUCCAGACAUUGCUCACUUCCAUAUGAAAAUUUGCAAUAGUGCAUCUGGUUGGCAGGAGUUGGAUGAUGCCAGGAGAUUGGGAAAGAGUGUUUCUGGCUUUGAAAGUAGGUGGUGCAGGAAAGCUUCCCAAACAUAGAAGAAUGUUCAGAAGGUAGUGGGCACCACUGAAACAUAAUGAAGGUCUUCAAUAAUGGCUAAUACAUUUUUGUGAACCUACUGUGUGCUUGGCACACAGUUUGGGGUCCAUUCAUCUUCUAAUGGUAAACCCUGACUUCACCCUUCCUCACUCUCCAUCCGUGUGGUUUAGAUGGGAUUGACCCCAGGGUUGGGCUUGUGAUUCAGGCCCCAACAAUGACAUGUGACCCAGUCAGAGCCAACUUGGUGUAACCUUUGCUUUUUGCUGGGACAGCUGAAAGAAGAGGACUUGGGCUGUGAGGAUGGAGCCUAGAGCUGCUGGCAGCCAUCCUGCUGCUGCAAAGAACAGAGAUGAGAGAUGAGAAGAGGAAGACCAAGUCGAUAUUUUUUGAGCUUCUUGGUACUGGAUCAGUCAUACCAUUGAAGUCUUCUGUUAUGUGAGCCUGUACAUUUCCUAUUUGCUUACAACAAGUCAAUUUAAAUAGUUUCCCAUCAUUUGUAAUUUGUCAC